AUACUCUGGUUUCUCUUCAAAUCGUAUAAAUCUUUCGCCUUUUACUAAAGAUUUCCGUGGAGAGAAACGAGUGUGAGUCUGAAACCAAUUUUUUGAGGCCUUGCGUUUCUUAGCAGGGCUUAUUUUAAGUGUUUUAAAAACAGAUGCGAUUCCGUUAAAUCGCGUGUGGAGCUAUGUAAAGUGUAUUAUAGAACAAAUGCGAGUUACGGUUUUUCAGCUUUUCGCUUUGUUAAGAACUUCAAAGAGGAACCAGGAGUACGGGAAGAGCAUGAAAGUGGACAAGGAGCGUGACCAUGGAAGCACAGCACCACAGGGAGGGGUUUAGGCCUCCGGAUGACUGCGGGCAGGCCUGGAUAAUAUCCAGCCUCCCACAAGAAGCUGGUGGAGCAGAGUGUUCCCUGACUCCUCCAAGGAAACGGAGACUCCCUUUCACGGUUUGCUAAGUAACGGGUGCCUUCCCAGGCACUGGCAUUACCACUUGACCAAGGAGCCCUCAAGCGGCCCUGAUGCAGGUGUGACAGAGGGCUCACCUCUUGCCUUCUUGGUCACUUCUCACAAUGUCCCUUCAGCCCCUGUCCCUAUACCCGCCGGUUAUUCCUUGGUUAUACAACAAAGAGUAAUAUUAAAAGUUAAUGAUUAAUAAUGUUUAUACUAAUGAUUUAUAAUGUCCAUGAUCAUCUCUAUAUCUAAUUUGUAUUAUAACUAUUCUCAUUCUAACUAUUUUGUUUAUUAUACUGAAACAGUUUGUGCCUUCAGUCUCUUGCCUCGGCACCUGGGUAAUCCUCCGUCCACACUCGUCUGUCUCUCCUGCAGGCUGCAUUCGCUGAGGUGUGUCUGUGUUGUUCCCCUUUGAGUUCCAGUCAAAAAAGAUUCCUAGAGAGAAUUCGCUCUCACGCCAGGGCUAAGCUCCUCCCACCAGGUUCAUGAGCCUGGAAGUAAGUGCCGUCCACCAAUGUCCUGCCUGCUCUUCAGAGGCUCCUCAAGCCUUCCCUGCCCAGAGAGAUUCCGGGAUGAAAAGGAAAAACGUCCCUGCCUGGCAGAAAUUGAUGCUGCUUCUGGAAACGUAGGGCGGGUGGUUGUUUCCAAAAUGUGUCUGCCAUCACUUGAGCUAGUAGUGGGAGCAUCUAGUUUUGGAGCUGGACAGGCUUGGGAACGCAUCCCUGACUCCACAAAUUAUGUGACUUUGGCUUAAUGACUUAUCAUCUGGGAGCCUCACUUUCCUCAUCUGUAAAACAGGACUGACACUCACCUUGCAGGAAUACUGGAGGUCUGUACUGCGCUGCCAACAUCUAUUCGCCCUCAUCCGUGACAAGAGUACCCACAAUUUCCUCUGGGAAGCUGCUCCUCUCUGAUUAGUGUCUGUUCAGUGGUUGGAGGUUGACCCUACCCCAGCUCUGAGACGGCCUGGCCAGCCUAUCCUAAUUAGCAUAUCCCUUUCACCCUGGCCACAGUGAUUGACUUAGGGCUGGGCUGUGCAGAGGUGAGCCUCAGCUUUUUGGGUAGGAACACCAGGACUUGGAUUCCAGUGGGUUUAAUGCUAGGAGGGCAUCAAGCUUGUGAUAACUGUGGCCAUUUUUGUUACCAUAAGGGUAGCCAGUCUGAGGAUGGAAGCCAAUCUACAGGAAACAGAGCUAAGAGAUACUAAUGCAUCCCUAAAUCACUUGAGUCCUGGAUCAAACCGUUCCUGAAGCUCCUACUAAGCUACACUGUUAUGU
rnacentral:lncRNA from 1 species